UCUUGGCCGUGUCUCGUUUCCAGUGCCCUAAACAAGUGUAAUUUGACAAAUUUACAUGUAAACAUUAAGCUGUGAGAAAGUUAAAACGAUACCAAUCGAGUUUUAGAGCUUUGGUGACCAUUUUAAAAGAAUAUAUGAUAAAUUCAAAGGUAAGUCUAUCGUAUUGCAUUGUCUUAAAUGAAUUCUCAGCUAAAAUACGGCAAUAAAUGGAUCAUAAACUUAGCUAAAUUUACUGUUGACAACGAGGUUGACAGAUCCAUUGCUUUUUUGCCUUGAAUAGCUUUACCAUAGUUAUUUUACCUUAAAAUGUAGCUACUGAGGAUAUCUCUAAGAGAUUUACACAGAUUAUUUGCACAAUCUCACGAUUUAAUCAUGCUGAUAACAUGAAAAUCCUUGUGCCAUUCUAUACUUGGCAUAUUAAAUCUCUACAUCAAUAGUUCACUAAAGGAGCAUUCAUUUUUUAGCUGGGGGGGGGGGUGGGCCGGAGGAACUGAUGUCUAAUUCCAUGCGAAAACUUGGAACCCCCAAGACAAAAGUUGAUAUAAAAUUAUGACCCCCUAUUUUUUUACUGAAAAUUUUUUGACCCCUCAUCCUAACUAUUAAUCCACACGGUGUUGUUUCCAUAGCGUUUCAGGCCCGUAGGAAGCUCUUUUUGAUUGGGGGCUGAAAGCAAGGGCCAAAGGCCCGAGGAAAUUUUUAAAUCUAGAGUCUUUGAAAUGCCAUUUCCUGGCCUUUGGGGGAAGAUUUGACAGAAUUCUGAUGGUCAGAAAACAGCGUUUUAGUAUGUCGAAAUUGACAAUUUGGUAGUACUAAAUGGGCGAAGGCGUAUUUAAUUUACUAUAUAUUAGAUAACUAGGAUAAUUUGCAAGAAACUGUGGGUACUAUCUUCAUUCUUUGCAGUUUGUCAUGGAUAAUGUAGCCGCUUAAAAUUAAUAAAGCUUAAAAUUGAUCAAGGUCUGCAUGAUUUUGAAGUCAUGCAGACCUUGAAACCAUGCAUGAUUUUGAAAUCAUGCUACGGUCCUGCAUUUUCUUUCAUUCAUGUUUUCACACAAAAACGGAUAAAAACGAGGUCAAUUGACGAACGUCAUGGAAAUGUUUUCCUAUGGAAUGUGUGAACAGAGCAUCAAAUGAGUUUUGCUUCAUUGUUAUAGAUGACGAGAUAGUUGAUAGAUUCUAGACCUUUUUACCAUUCUUGAUCCAAAUAUUUCCAAAUUCUAUAAAAUUAUAUUGGUGAUUUUUUCACUGAUUUUUAUGACCCCCUCCAUUUAUACCAAAACUAUAAAAAGACCCACCCCUUUGAAGCAUGUCAAAAUUGGCUGACCCACCCCCAAAUUCCUCCUGCCCCCCCCCCAGCUAAAAAAUGAAUGCUCCCUAUAAAUUCAAUAUAUUUUUGAACCAGUCCAUAUAUUGUUAUACACAAUGUAGUAUAGUUAAUUUGACCAUUGAGAAGUAAGGGUGUAUUUCAUUACACAGACACUGCUGAAUUUUAGGUUACAUGCCAUUGGAUUGAUAUAUAAAAAACACUUGUAAAACACACCCAUCUUGUUGAUAGAAUAGUUAUUUGCAGUAUACUAACUGUUGGCAUACUCUAUUUCAGGACUAUCAAUUGUUUUUGUCACUGGCAGUCUUUGAAAUACAAUCUUGCUCUGUGGCCUUUACUGACAAGUUGGCUUUUACUACAUAUGUGGCACUGACACUUCUUUAAUUAAUGCACCAGUCAAUGUAAACCCCCCAACCGGGGAGGGGCAGGGAUUUUGACUUGGAGGGGUAGUAAAAGAGCGAAAUUAUCCCCACCCAUAACGAGCGAAAUUAUCAUAGAUCAGCAAUAGAAAAUCAAAUUCAUUUAUGUUGUUGUAUUUAAACUUUUCUUGUCAAGAAAACUAAAACAGCAACACAGGAUAUAUAUGUUAACCACUGUCCAAGUCUCCCAUCAUCGGGGACAAAUUUAUAAUCAAAACUGACUACUUUCCCUGCUAAACCUUCCGCCCCUCCCCGGUUGGGGGCAGGGAUUUACAUUGACUGGUGCAUAACUAGAUGAUUGCAUGAAGCAUUGCAUGGAAGUUGAUUUAUAAUUAGUUUAUGAAUAAACUCACACUUUCAUUAUAAUGGUUGAUCGAAUAUAUCAAAUGCAUUUGAUUGGUUGAUGGUCCCUUAAUGGUAAUCAAAUCUGAACCUAUAUAAUGUCAAUAUACUGGAAAAGUAUCAAAUUAAAUUUUAAUUGUCAAUGUUGUGGGAAGUAAAUAAAUCAAACAAUUCUGUUUGUUUCAACUAACUAGUUCACUAUCACUUUGGUUUUCAAAUCAAAGAAUCUUUAGCCUGGUUGAGCUUUUGAAAAAGUAGCUGCUUGAUUAAACGCAAGAUUAUUUUACUCUGUCUAACGCCAGACAAUUUCACUUGUCAAGGGGAAAGUGCUGCCACUCAGUGAACUCAAUCAGAGCUCAAUGAGCAGCAGCACUCUCCCUCGAUAAGUAAAAUCAUCUGGCAUUAGAUGAAGUGAAAUAAACUAGUAAAGUAGGGUGCAUUGGGGCACAAUGCAGCUUACUGGGUUAACUGGAAAAUAUAUUUAUUAAACAAUACACACC